UCAAAGUUUGCAAUUUCAAUCAGUUGCUAUAGCGACCCCCUUUGGCCAAUUGAUGUAAUAUUGCUUCAUUCGCAUCCUCCCAUGACCCUCUACCACUGUGCCAAAUUUCACAUGGAUUGACCAAGUCAGUGAGGAGAAAAACGUGGAACAGACACACAGACAGAGUUUUCGUCAUUAUAUAGUAAAGAUUCCAUUACUUGUAUCAUAUCGUAAUGCAUGUUUUAUGCAGUGUUUGUUUUUCCAGUGCCAACCAGAAGGAGUUGCCCGUCUGCCUGAUUCCACGUGAACGCAGCAUUCGACUAGUUCUUUUUAAUGAGCUCUGUGAGUAGCUUGAUUGGAUGUUCCAGUAUUGCUGUUUACCUUGACCUGCAGAUGGUGGCUCAGCAGUGUGACAUGUCUGUAGUUUUUACAAUCAAAUGGUAUCGAAGCUGUCAGAUAUUUGUCUGACUUACAAUUACAACUACCAGACUAAUGCUAAUAUUAACACACUCAGCUGCUGUUUUACUGUCCAGUACUCUCUUACCUUAAAAUAUCUGGGACAUGAUUGAGAUUUUCAGAGGUACUGACAAAAAAAAACCCUUUAAGAGAAAUUACAUUGAGUUACAGAAGCUAGCAGAACAGAAGCUAGCUAGGACACGAGGUUCAGGUCCAGCUGUCACGACAUUAAACGUCACAACAUCUCGAUAGCUGAGUAACGAUAAGUGGUACAAGCUGAUGGUUCAUGUUUCCUUUGUCUUGUUUUUUCUUUAUAUUGCUCUACAAUCCAAGAUGCAAGCGUAUCACACUGUAAUACAGCAGUGAAGUCUAUAAUAAGAAAUUCUAAAUGCAAGUUUCAGAGAUUCAGAAGCUGCUUUCAGGCAGUCUGAGAAAAAUGCGACUUUGAUCUGAAUUUGACAGCAUCUCAUCCUUACAGAAACAGGAAGUCAUCUAUUCCCUCAGGCCGAGCAUCACUGGACUGAAUUCCUUUUCAUCUGCAGCGCAAACAUUUCUGCUUAUACUUAAUGGUGUAAAACAGAAUUAUGAAGAAAGCCAUUUUCAACAUAAAUUUAUGUCUGUAAAUGUGGUUUAUCCAUGUCGAUAUACAAAACAAGGCCAUAGCCACAUCUUUGGUGACCCGACACACGUCACACAUUCUCAGUAUUGCUUUCUGUAAAUAUUUCAUAGGACUGAUUUAAAUUUGACUAUUUACUACCAAAAGAUCUUCAUGCUAGAUCUUCAUGUUGGCAAAUACAGACAGUAUCACUGAACAAUUAACUAAAAAUAAUAUUAAAUUAUUAAAAUUUUAAACUUUAUUUCUGAUGUCUGGUCAAAAAUAUCCUCAAUACAACAAUAAAGCUACACAAAUUAAAAGUUAAAUUCAAAAUUCGAACUAAUUUUGGGGAAAAUAUAAUAACUGUUUAAGAGAUUUUAUUUUUCCUCAUAAAAAAACCUACAAAAAUCAGACCUUAAACAUUUUAUAAGUUGUCAAAAAUGAGCACAUCAUUCAGCAUAAUCGUGAUGUGUGUCAUCUUCAUAUAUUUGUUUUUUAACAUUAUCAUUUUUUGUAAGUUCAAGCAUGAGUUCAAAUAUUUCAUUUUGGAGAUAAAAACCUUGGUUUGUCAGGACCAGACAAACAUGUCGCGCCCUGCUAUAUCUCAUGCCGCGUCUAUACAUCUCGUGAUGUCACCCGAUCAUAUCACCGAUGAUCCAUACACAAACUGGAACACUGAAGAGCGAUACUGGAUUUUAUCUCCCCUAAAUGUCACGAGACAGCUGUCCACUGUUUUAUCUCACUCUGUUUCCUGAUUCACCCAGUUUCCACAUUUCGCUGACAUUUUCAUCAUCUUCACGGCGCUAUCGUUCUGAUGGCACAUGAGUAAUCACAUGUGUGAAAUUGGUUUCCAGAGAGUUUUGAUGCCUUUCUUUGUCUCUGAGCAUAAAAACAGACGAUGUGCGAAUAAGAACCACUGAAGGAAAAGAGAGACUCUGGUUUAAAAUAAAACACACCCUGGAGCUUUUUGUCAGGCGUUAAUGAAGCUUUUUAUUCCACAGAAAAUAGUCUGAACUGUCUGUCUGUAUUUUUAAGAAUGAAAAUUUGAAUUCAGGCCUUUUUUGCUUUCCUUCGUAAGUCAGAACCACUGUCAUCACCGAGAUGCCAACAGCUGUUCCAGAAACCAUCAUGUGGCUAAAAGUCAAAUAUUCAACCUCUUAAAACGGACAGAUGAGUCUGUUUAAAGCUGCUGUGGAGCAGCACUGGCCACAUUCACUCAGCAUAAACUUCAAUUUCCUUCAGCGUAUUUUAAUUUGAUCGUUUUCAGCCGAUCCUCACGCUGAGCCCUGGCAGAGUUCAGUCUGGGUCAUGCCUCCUUUCUUGUUUGCAGUGUUAUCAGCCGAGUGAACCGGUGCCCACCCCAGAUUAAGCCGCGCUCCUCGCUUUCUUCAGCUUAUGAUGGCGAGGCCAGACUGCAGAGAGCGAGUAUUUGAUCUGUGUUUCGGAGCGGCUGGAGGCCUGGAGAAUGGGCGUCAGCGGGUUGGCUCAUUAGCCAAUCUUCACUGAGCGGCGGCUAACCUCGAGCUACAUGUACACUGCAAAAAGUAUUCAUCUUUGCGCGUCAUUAAAACAUUUGUCCUGGGUCAAAUUUGCAGAUGUUUUUUUAAACAAUAAUAUAAUCUGCAUCAGAGUGAGACUGCUGAAGUCACAUUUAAAAGAAAUCCUUUCUGUCCAUUUCAUUAUCAUCACAACAACUAUCAAAGGAUGAAAGUUAGCAGGAUUAGCAGCAUCCCCAUCAAUCACACAUUCGAUGUGCCAACUUAACUCUGUUAUCAGGGUUUUGACGAGCUUUUUCACUCUGCAGCUCUCCCUUUGUCAUGUCACCAGCGCUGAUGGCUAACUGAGGACGCUUUAAAGUCGAGCAUCUUUUCCACAGAAAGGCAAAGAUUUCGUGAUUUUGUGCCGUUUCACAGCAGGUCAUUUAAGAAAAGAGCUUCUUCUGCUUCUUCAUACAAAGAGCCAUCUCUCUUAGAGAUGACUUUUCUCUUGGAUUAUUGGAAUAAGAAGCCCAUAAAGCCGAGAGCGAGCUAUUGACCGGGCUUCUUUCUGUCUCAUGCCUCAGCUGAAAGGAGAAAGAAAAGGGGUUUUUCUUAUUUUUCUUUUGAAGAACGUUACCUAAAGGGCUGCAGGAGGAGAGGAUGAAGUCUGUGUAAUGCAUUGCAGCUUUACCUGAGCUAUGAUUAUAGACACCGUGGCUUGUUGUUGGAUCAGUGAGGCUUCUUUUUGUGCUCUGACAGAGAAGUGAUUUUAUCUGUGAUUAAAUAUUAAAAUCACCUGUGUUGUUUGAAGCUGGGUUAAAUAUUUCACUCGUCUCUAACGCGACUACAAGUCAGCUGUUUAACGCUGGUGGGUGUGAUUGAACCUGAUCCACUGUUGCGCAGUUUCUCCACACCGAACAGCAACAGGCUUUCCUUGAUUUCCUAGUUUUCGUACAUUGCUAUCAACAGUGUUGCAGGACUUCUUUUUUGCAGGAGAGCAGCCGCUAUCUUGGAGUUUGAUCCUUCUCUAAAAGUCUGAUUUAUUAAUUAGAAUAAUGCAAGUGGUGUGUAUUUUAGCUUUUCACCCAUUGGAUGGAGAGUUGCUCUUGCCUGUUUGUCAUUUGAGUUUUAGUGAGCGAUUUGAUUUGCUGUGCUGGCUGCUGAGAUUCAUCACAGGACGUUGAGUGCUUUGUAUUUGUGAGAUAUUCAUUUCAUCUGCAGUGAGUGUUAAAUCUUUAAAAAAAUAUAUUUUGUGUUUGAGCUGUUUUUUGAACUCUGUGUGUGUGUGUGUGUGUGUGUGUGUGUGUGUGUGUGUGUGUGUGUGUGUGUGUGUGUGUGUGUGUGUGUGUGCGCCUAGUGGUAUUUAUACUUCUGAAUGAGGUGUUUUUACCUGCCAGGUGUACCAGGUGAAUGUGCACCAGAGCUGUAAAGACUUUUUGGAGUUAGAAAAGGUAAAUCAUGCACAUCCUGUACUCCAUGGUGGCUAAAACAAAUGCUAACCAAUAUAUUUGCAGUGUUGUUUGAUUCAGGUGUAGUAUGUUCCUUUUUUUAUUUUCUUUGUUUGGUGUCACAGAAACAUGUCAAGUGACCUUUCGAAAAUGAAUGGUGUCAUUUCAGUGGAGAACAAAGAGCAGAAAAAGGACUCUAAACUAACAAAUCUGUCACUUCUGAUGUCAUUCUAUCAUAUUUUCCACAUGUACCAACCAAGUGUAAAUACAGCGAGCUGUUUGAUAGGAGGGGAUGUUUUUGUACUCUUCACUCUGUCACUUGACAAACAUAAAGGUACCAGUUGUGGAUCCUUGACACCGUCACUGGUUACAGAUUUUAAAAAGUUUGGAAACAACUCAGUGUUUAGUUCAAAUUCUGUAAGUCUGAGAUUUGUGAGACUGAGAAUUUUAUUGUCAUUUUUGUGCAGACUUACAAGAUGUUCUAGUUUUUCUUUGUUGUUUUGUUCAUUUGCUUUUUUUCUGUUUGUGCCGUGAUGUACGCAAAGGGGAUCCUCACACAUUCUAUGCAAACAAAUGGAUAUAGAACGCAUUGUAAUGAUGCAAUGAAUUGUAAACGUUGUAAAAAUUGUGAAUGAAAGUAAACGCUCUUAAAUUUAUUAUACUUUAUGUAUACAGUUUGUAUUUAUGAACUGAGUUGCAAUCUAAACUGUAUCAAUAAACUUAUUUUAAAAAC